rnacentral:lncRNA from 1 species
UGGGAGUUUGUGGACAACCAGACUUUCCGUGCGGCCGAAGUUUACUUACAGAGGCGUCUUGCCGGACUCUCCACCGGAAAACUCGUCGUGGGUUCGAGCAGUCUCAAGAAUCCAGAGGCUCAGCUGAAACUUGGAGUCCCUGUAAACACAAAAAUCAUCGAUGAGUUCGAAGGGAUUCAUCUCGAGUGGACUCUACACUCUUCUGAAACUAAGUUGUAUCCUUACGAGAAACGGUACAAUCUGUUUUUCUCCUCUCCUUGACUCUAAUCUUUAAUCUUUUUUUUUUUUUUUUUUUGAUUGCUUUCGUGGAUGUUUUAGGUACUUUCAUCUGACAUGUGAGGAGGAGUUUCGUGAGAAGAUAAUGACAGAUUACUUCACAUACUUGACUAAAUCAGCAGAGAAGACACUUAAACAUCGCGAGAAUCUCCAUAUCUACACUUACAGCGAAGACGAAUGGGAAGCCGCCAUUUUCGAACACCACACAACCUUCGAGACGCUAGCCAUUGAGCCGAACCUUAAGACCACAAUGAUCGACGAUCUUGACGCUUUCUCUAAAGGAAAAGACUUCUUCAAGAGCGUGGGACGUCCUUG